UACGCCCACAUCACGUUCAAGCACCGGUUCUCGAACGAUCACCGAAGUCAAACAACGUCGGACCUGGUCAGUACGUUGAUGGGUGAAGCUUGCGAGGAAUAGGUGCUGUAAG